AGACAUUUGAAAACAGUAGCAGAGUAGUCGGUGCCAUAGGGGCAGGCAGGGAGCUGAAGAGCAGCUCCAUAGCUCCUCAGCACCGCGUGGGCACCCAGCUUGGUUGCAACCUUUACCUACGACAAGCUCAUUGUUUCCCUCUCCAUUCCUGGCAGCUCACGGGAUGUCCCAGCUCAGCCUGGCGGAGGUUGUGGACAAGACAACGAAGUCACCCAAGCAGAGAACAGAGAGGCUCAGGACAAGGAGGAGCUGCAAUGCAAUCGGCUGCUCCACGGUGUGAAAGGCGGAAGGAUUUUCUGCCGGUCGCCUGCAGUCCCUGUUUGUGGCACCGAUGGAAAAACCUACUCGAAUAGAUGUCAGCUGUGCUUUGCAGCGAGGCAGUCUGCAAGCUACCUUGCACUCAGGCACGUGGGGAAAUGCACCGGCCCUGCGGAGACGAUGGUAAGG